rnacentral:lncRNA from 1 species
GUACAUGAGCACAGUAGUUUAUAGAACAGAUGCUUAUUUUUAUGCCAAGUGACAUUAUGUUCAUACAGAGAAGUGAAUGUAGCCUUGGUCUUACCUUUAUCCUUGUCUGUGCAACCUGCACUGGAGGAAGGCCACAUCUGUAGCUAGCAGAACUGAGGCUUAACUAAGGUAAUUCCUCUUCAAGUCUUCCAGGAGGAGGCUGCAGCUGUAAAACCUGUCCCUCCGUGUGUUGCUUAUCUUAGGAACUGGACAAGAGGCAAUUCCAAAGCAUGCAGAGCGGAACAAAGUAAUUAAACAGGGAAAUACUGACUAUCUUUGAGAACUGGAAUUAGAAAAGAGAUUUGAAGUUGACCUGCUACAGGUAAUACACAGGUAGUAAGAAUUAGAAAGACUAAAUGGGAGCUAUCUAGAGAACAUUAUUUCUUCAGGUUGUUCAUAUUUUAACAGACCAAAGUAACUUUUUGUAUCAUUCUCUGUGAGCUGUGUUAAUACCUUGGCUUGCACUCAACUAUUUAAUACAUCGAGUCUGAAAUAAUGAAGUUGCCAUUUGUGUGCAAAGGCUGAGUUAAGGUUGGUACAGAUUAACUCACGCUCCAUAGCAGUGCUCUGCUGAAGCUCCAAGGAGCUCUCCUUGGAUCUGCUGCCUGGCCCAAUCAGUUGUCUUUUCUCAACUGAAAUGCAAUCAGAACCAUGCUAAAGCAGUACAAACCAAUCACUACUGCCAGGUGACCAGGACAUAAUAGUCUUCCCCCUGCACAAGAAACAAGGGCACCCAGUGAAACUACCCAGCAGUGAUGCAUUUAGAACAGGUAACUGUUGUGUAAAGCAGUAAUUCCUGUUACACAACACAAUGUCAGAGCGAGCUGCAGAGGUCAAAAGCACCACUUGAUUCAAAGAAAGAUGAAGCAAGUUCACAAAUAGGCCCUCUGGUAAUUACACAGAAUAACCCUGCUCAGCCUCCAGCUCAAGGAAUGGAACUGGAGGCUGGCUAAAGGCUGACUGCAAAUCCCUCCAGCUGCCUCGCCCCCAUGGAAAAUGAAGUUGCCAUGAGAUUGGUUUGGAUUUAAAAGAAGUGUUAGAGGAGUCACUGUCACACUGAGGCACCUACAUCAGCCACAAAACCCCUCAGGCAUCUCGUUUCCCCCAGAGCAGACAGAGGAAAUUUAAGCAGCAGGCAGUGGUUCUAGCAAGAUCUACUCACAGAGCUAAAGGCUCCAUUAACAGCACCCUGUUUCACACAGUGCACCAGUCUGCUCCUCCAGGAUGGGCCCAGCAUGACAUCUUCUAUCCC